rnacentral:tRNA from 1 species
GGGCCCGUGGCUCAGACUGGAUAGAGCGCCCGCCUUAUAAGCGGGAGGUCGGGGGUUCAAGUCCCCCCGGGCCCACCA